AUUGAACGCUGGCGGCAGGCUUAACACAUGCAAGUCGAGCGGGGAAAGGUAGCUUGCUACCUGACCUAGCGGCGGACGGGUGAGUAAUGCUUAGGAAUCUGCCUAUUAGUGGGGGACAACAUUCCGAAAGGAAUGCUAAUACCGCAUACGCCCUACGGGGGAAAGCAGGGGAUCUUCGGACCUUGCGCUAAUAGAUGAGCCUAAGUCAGAUUAGCUAGUUGGUGGGGUAAAGGCCUACCAAGGCGACGAUCUGUAGCGGGUCUGAGAGGAUGAUCCGCCACACUGGGACUGAGACACGGCCCAGACUCCUACGGGAGGCAGCAGUGGGGAAUAUUGGACAAUGGGCGGAAGCCUGAUCCAGCCAUGCCGCGUGUGUGAAGAAGGCCCUUUGGUUGUAAAGCACUUUAAGCGAGGAGGAGGCUACUUGGAUUAAUACUCUAGGAUAGUGGACGUUACUCGCAGAAUAAGCACCGGCUAACUCUGUGCCAGCAGCCGCCGUAAAAC
rnacentral:rRNA from 1 species